UUUUACAGUCUGGUAAUUGGAAUGAGUACAGUGUAAAUCCCUUAACGAGGAUCAAUUGGAGGGCAAGUCUGGUGCCANCAGCCGCGGUAAUACCANCUCCAAUAGCGUAUAUUAACUUUGUUGCAGUUAAAAGGCUCGUAGUCNAAUUUAUGGCUAUAGAUGCUCGGCCCGCUAUCUAGUAUAACGAGUGCCUUGUGUUUUGGUCAUCCUUCUGGAGAGCACUGCUGACCUUGAUUGGUUCGGCUGUUGUAAUCCAGAUCAUUUACUGUGAGUAAAUCAAAGUGUUCAAAGCAGGCUUGUGAAGCUUGUAUGCUCUAGCAUGGAAUAAUAGGAUAGGACUUGGGUUCUAUUUUGUUGGCUUUCANAACCAAAGUAAUGAUCGAUAGGGAUAGUUGGGGGUGCUAGUAUUUAACGGUCAGCGGUGAAAUGCUCACACCCGUUAAAGACUAACUUAUGCGAAAGCAUUCACCAAGGAUAUCUUCUUUGAUCAAGAACGGAAGUUGGGGGAUCGAAAACGAUCANAUACCGUCGUAGUCUCAACCAUAAACUAUGCCAACUAGGGAUUGGCGGUCGUUGAUUAUUGACCCCGUCNGCACCUUAUGAGAAAUCAAAGUCUCUGGGUUCUGGGGGGAGUAUGGUCACAAGGCUGAAACUUAAA
rnacentral:rRNA from 1 species